GCCGCACCCUCUAUAAAAAAUCUCACUCUCGGCACCACUGACCAGGUGCGCACUCCCAUCCCUUCUCCUCACCGUCAGCAACGCUUCCGGCUGCCCUCCCGCGCCGCUCGCCGGAUCCGCCGUUUCUCAGGAAAUGGCCGCGCUGCAACCAUCGUUCUCUUCACUAAUGGCUAUGAACAAUAGCUGCAACACCAUGAAAUUCCCCAAGACUGCACUUUUGCCUGGUUUCGGUGGCAUUUCGCGCCCUCAAGAUGUGCAGGACAGGAAUGCUAGCCUCACCUGUUCAAGGCCCAAGGCAGUUUCAGUGACUGAUCAGUCAGUAGCAGAGCCAGCAAAACCCAGGCAAACGAAACACACAGUUGAUCCUGCUGCUCCCGAAUUUCUGCCGCUCCCAGCAUUUGAAGACUGCUUCCCACGGAGCACCAAAGAAUGCAGUGAAGUCGUUCAUGAGGAAACAGGUCAUGCCCUGAAGGUUCCAUUUCGGAGAGUCCAUUUGACCGGAGAUAGCGGGCAUUUCGACACAUAUGACACCAGUGGUCCACAAAACAUAAGCCCAAGGCUCGGACUCCCAAAGAUAAGAAAGGAAUGGAUUGACAGGAGAGAGAAGUUGGGUAGUCCUCGUUACACGCAAAUGUACUAUGCUAAGCAGGGAAUCAUAACAGAGGAGAUACUGUACUGUGCCAAACGCGAGAACCUUGCUCCUGAAUUUGUCCGGUCAGAAGUCGCCCGUGGACGAGCCAUUAUCCCUUCCAACAAGAGGCACCUGGAAUUGGAACCCAUGAUUGUUGGAAGAAACUUCCUUGUAAAGGUGAAUGCUAACAUUGGGAACUCUGCUGUUGUGAGCUCCAUUGAGGAGGAAGUCCACAAGCUCCAGUGGGCCACAAUGUGGGGAGCAGAUACUGUCAUGGACCUUUCAACAGGGCGCCAUAUCCAUGAGACCCGGGAAUGGAUUAUUCGUAACUCUUCGGUUCCUAUUGGAACUGUUCCUAUUUACCAAGCACUUGAGAAAGUUAACGGUAUUGCUGAAGAUCUGAGCUGGGAAGUCUUUAGGGACACUUUAAUUGAACAAGCCGAGCAGGGUGUUGAUUACUUCACCAUCCACGCUGGUGUGCUGCUUCGAUAUAUUCCUCUCACAGCAAAGAGAAUGACCGGCAUAGUUUCUCGUGGUGGAUCAAUCCAUGCAAAAUGGUGCUUGACGUAUCACAAGGAGAACUUUGCUUAUGAGCACUGGGAUGACAUUCUUGACAUAUGUAACCAGUAUGAUGUGGCAUUAUCUAUUGGUGAUGGCCUGAGGCCUGGUUCCAUUUAUGAUGCUAAUGAUAGUGCUCAGUUUGCAGAACUGCUGACUCAGGGGGAACUAACUCGCCGAGCAUGGGAGAAAGAUGUGCAGGUGAUGAAUGAAGGUCCUGGGCAUAUUCCGAUGCAUAAGAUUCCUGAAAAUAUGGAGAAACAGCUGGAGUGGUGCAACGAAGCACCUUUCUAUACGUUGGGUCCAUUGACCACUGAUAUUGCACCUGGUUAUGAUCACAUCACCUCAGCCAUUGGUGCUGCCAACAUUGGGGCUCUUGGCACUGCACUUCUUUGUUAUGUAACACCAAAGGAGCACCUUGGGUUGCCUAACAGGGAUGAUGUUAAGACAGGUGUGAUAUCCUACAAAAUCGCUGCUCAUGCUGCUGAUUUGGCAAAGCGUCACCCCUAUGCACAAGCAUGGGAUGAUGCACUAAGCAAGGCAAGGUUUGAGUUUAGAUGGUUGGACCAAUUUGCUUUAUCCCUGGAUCCAGUUACUGCAAUGUCUUUCCAUGAUGAAACACUGCCGUCUGAUGGCGCCAAAGUAGCACAUUUCUGCUCAAUGUGUGGUCCCAAGUUUUGCUCGAUGAAAAUCACCGAGGAUAUUAGAAAGUAUGCUGAUGAACAUGGUUACGGGACAGUAGAGGAAGCGGUGAGACAAGGAAUGAGUGAGAUGAGUGCUGAAUUUUUGGCUGCAAGAAAAACAAUUAGUGGCGAACAACAUGGUGAAGCUGGAGGGGAAAUCUAUGUGCCAGAAAGCUACGUAGUUCAGAAAUAAGAUGUCCUUGGCAGCCGUCUGAUCCAAGUGAUGCAGAUUUGGUGGCUAGGUCGUUUGUCAGCAGCACUUCUACCAUCUUCUGUUAGGAGGUGGUAAGCAGGAUAUAUGCCUCAAUAAAGCUACUGCUGCUUAGCGUCAGUUCUUAAUGUCAUUAUGGAUUAUGGGUUGUAAUAAAAGUGAACUCUAUGUUGUGUUACUUAUGUUAUAAUUGUCUUUGCAUAUCAUUAUGGGAUUGCUAGUGAUGAAAGUUGCACCAGGGGUGCUUGUAUUCCCAACGAUCUUAAGGCCCCUUGGCCUGGAUUGUUGCGAUAUGGGCUGAGAAAGUCCCUUUGAACCUGAACAGGAUAAUGCCUGCGAAGGGAGUGUGCAUUUUUAUUUUCAUGUUUCCCAGGAUACACUCAACCCUCGACAUUCUGGAAAUCGAGGGACCAAGUUUUCCUGAAUGUGUGGAGCGCAUCUACUGGAUAUGCAUGUUUCCUACUCUGAAGUAACAUGGUAAUGUACACGAUUUCUUGAACCAGCAUACAUAUUGGUAUUUCUCCAAGAGGAGAGAAUAUUUACAGGCAUAGUGUUACCAUGGAACACAUAAAAUUUAGUCAACAUGGAACACAUAAAAUUUAGUCAUACGUGUGGCUAGUUUAGUCAAACUUCAUAAGCCCAUAAUUUUUUUGAGGAAUCCCAUUACAUCUCGCAAAGCAUUCACAAUGUCCUGUGUAAUUUACUUUUUACACCUAUCCUUGUACAUAUUUCUAUAUAAGUAGAAUAUAAAAGAUGUAACUAGAUUGACAGAUUGGAAUGGUUAUGUGCAUGCCACUUGUCAGUUGAGAACAAAUGCACCAGCAAAACUCUUUUUGACUUGAUUAUGUGAAAUGUGCCUACUAAGAAUUAUGUUUUGCAGUGUCUAAGAUACUGCUCAUCGUGAACUAUUCUUUUGGUUGUUCCCAUUUUGAUGGUCAAACAUUUUCAUGUACAUCAUAAACUUUUUCACAUGGACGGUUUCAACUUAAUCAUUCGUGCAUGCCUAACUGUGUAUCUACAUUGUAAACUUGGCAGCACUUUAGUGCUGGACUGCUGGUCCUGCCUGGUUUAUGAUAACAAGUCUGCCUCCAGAAGUUAAUGCAUUUCAUACUUGUUUGAUUUACUGCUUAGUUCACGACCGCAGUUAGUCAUACUGGAGAAAUAUGGCAAAUCGGCGCACACCUGUCAGCCGCGCAAGCAUGGUGAAUAACACACACAAGCUUGUGGUGUAUCUACUAUCCACCAUAAAGGCCCAUAUGUUUAUCCUUGGACGCCAUUGUGUUGUCUAAGACAUGAUUUUAGUUUUACCUUCUGAUGUGUGAGACACAUGUUUCUUAGUCAAUUUCUUACUCCCUCCGAGUAUAAUAUAAGAUGUUAUUACAACCAAUGUAUUCAUCGGUUGUAAUAACAUCUUAUAUUAUGGGACGGAGUGAGUACUUGCCACUCCACUUUUUGGUAGUGUAUUCUAUGACCCAAAAUACCAUGAAUGACGCCAACCGAGAAUUGUGGGUAAAAUAUGUGAGAAAGGUGGAGCUGGUGGCUUUGGUCUUUAGUGGGUUUUGCAUCUGCCGUCCGAUGCGAUUGUGCUGGUAGGGUGUUGGUUUUAAAUUCCUACAGAGCUGAGCUAUGCACAUUAUUUCUCUGAUACCGCGGCUCCGGUUCUCACCGUUGCUUUUCACGUUUGAAGUUCCAUACAAAGGGAUUCUUCACAAGUUCAGGUGUUAACU
rnacentral:rRNA from 1 species